CUGGCGGUGGCACUGCCCACCUGCGCUGCGCCCAGUGCGCCCCCGUGCGCUGGGCAUACCCCAGACCAGGGAGCGCUCAGGGCCCGCCGGGGACGCCGAGACCUAGCAGGGGAGGCUAGAAAGAGGAGAGCGGAGGCCCCAGGACAUCCCUCCCCCGCCGCCACCUAAAUCAGACUCAGGCGGAGAGAAUUGACCGAGUCGGAGGAGGGGUAAACAGCCCUGCCCCUCGCUCCCACUGUCCCGCCAGAGAACGCGCCGCGGAAACCCCGAGGGCGGGUCAAGGGCCAGGUACCCGAGUGGGAGUGGACUCUCGUGCCGGGGUGGUAGGGGCUACCCUAGCGGUCCAGGGCCAGAGCCUGCACGCGGCGCCCCCACCCCCACCGCUGGGCUGAUCUUGGGUGUGUCAGAUCUUGCCCAAGCCUCACUUUCCUCCACGGUGGAGGUGAGAAUGAGGACGAGCCUGGAGCUGCGUGAACCCCGGCGCCCAGCAAGCUCUCAGGAAUCGCCGGCCUGUAGGUGGACGCAGAGCCUGAAAGUGAGGGGCCUGGGUCGUGCAUACGGAAAUAAAUAUGGGACUCUAAAUAAAGCGAGUUUCUGCAGGCAUUCAUUCAUUCAACAGAUGAACGCCUACGGUCUUCACCACCUCUUAAAAUCAGAAAUAAAGAAUGCCCCAGACUGUAGUUACUGGGCUCAAGAAAGUGUAAACUCUGAUGCUAAAAAUAAAAAAUUCAUCGGUUCCCCCCA
rnacentral:lncRNA from 10 species